GAUGAACGCUAGCGGGAGGCCUAACACAUGCAAGCCGAGCGGUAUUGUUUCUUCGGAAAUGAGAGAGCGGCGUACGGGUGCGUAACACGUGUGCAACCUGCCUUUAUCUGGGGGAUAGCCUUUCGAAAGGAAGAUUAAUACUCCAUAAUAUAUUGAACGGCAUCGUUUAAUAUUGAAAGCUCCGGCGGAUAGAGAUGGGCACGCGCAAGAUUAGCUAGUUGGUGAGGUAACGGCUCACCAAGGCGAUGAUCUUUAGGGGGCCUGAGAGGGUGAUCCCCCACACUGGUACUGAGACACGGACCAGACUCCUACGGGAGGCAGCAGUGAGGAAUAUUGGUCAAUGGGUGCAAGCCUGAACCAGCCAUCCCGCGUGAAGGACGACUGCCCUAUGGGUUGUAAACUUCUUUUGUAUAGGGAUAAACCUACCCUCGAGAGGGUAGCUGAAGGUACUAUACGAAUAAGCACCGGCUAACUCCGUGCCAGCAGCCGCCGUAAAAC
rnacentral:rRNA from 1 species